UGGGGAAUAUUGCACAAUGGGCGAAAGCCUGAUGCAGCCAUGCCGCGUGUAUGAAGAAGGCCUUCGGGUUGUAAAGUACUUUCAGCGGGGAGGAAGGCGAUACGGUUAAUAACCGUGUCGAUUGACGUUACCCGCAGAAGAAGCACCGGCUAACUCCGUGCCAGCAGCCGCGGUAAUACGGAGGGUGCAAGCGUUAAUCGGAAUUACUGGGCGUAAAGCGCACGCAGGCGGUCUGUCAAGUCGGAUGUGAAAUCCCCGGGCUCAACCUGGGAACUGCAUCCGAAACUGGCAGGCUAGAGUCUUGUAGAGGGGGGUAGAAUUCCAGGUGUAGCGGUGAAAUGCGUAGAGAUCUGGAGGAAUACCGGUGGCGAAGGCGGCCCCCUGGACAAAGACUGACGCUCAGGUGCGAAAGCGUGGGGAGCAAACA
rnacentral:rRNA from 1 species